rnacentral:rRNA from 1 species
UACAGAGGUCUCAAGCGUUGUUCGGAAUUACUGGGCGUAAAGAGUGUGUAGGCGGUGCUCUAAGUUCGGUGUGAAAUCUCCCGCUUAACUGGGAGGGUGCGCCGAAAACUGGAGUGCUCGAGCGUGGGAGAGGAAAGCGGAAUUCCUGGUGUAGCGGUGAAAUGCGUAGAUAUCAGGAGGAACACCUGCGGUGUAGACGGCUUUCUGGACCAUUGCUGACGCUGAGACACGAAAGCGUGGGUAGCAAACAGG